rnacentral:rRNA from 1 species
UGCAUGUCUAAGUAUAAGCAACUAUACCGUGAAACUGCGAAUGGCUCAUUAAAUCAGUUAUCGUUUAUUUGAUAGUACCUUACUACUUGGAUAACCGUGGUAAUUUUAGAGCUAAUACAUGCUAAAAACCCCCACUUCGGAAGGGGUGUAUUUAUUAGAUUAAAAACCAAUGCCCUUCGGGGCUCCUUGGUGAUUCAUAAUAACUAUACGAAUCGCAUGGCCUUGCGCCCGGCGAUGGUUCAUUCAAAUUUCUUCCCUAUCAACUUUCGAUGGUAGGAUAUGUGGCCUACCAUGGUUUCAACGGGUAACGGGGAAUG